CCUACGGGAGGCAGCAGUGAGGAAUAUUGGUCAAUGGCCGGAAGGCUGAACCAGCCAAGCCGCGUGAAGGACGAAGGUGCCAAGCAUUGUAAACUUCUUUUGUCAAGGGAAAAAAUCAGGCUCGAGAGCCUGACCGAGGGUACUUGAAGAAAAAGCAUCGGAUAACACCGUACCAGCAGCCGCGGUACUACGGGGGAUGAGAGCUGUGUCCGGAUUUAUUGGGGUUAAAGGGUGCGUAGGCGGGCUGUUAAGUCAGCGGUAAAAGCGCGGGGCUAAACCCCGGCGAGCCUUUGAAACUGGCUGUCUUGAGAUGUCGAGAGGGAUGCGGAAUGCGCGGUGUAGCGGUGAAAUGCUUAGAUAUUGCGCAGAACUCCGAUUGCGAAGGCAGCAUACCGGCGGCGAUCUGACGCUGAGGCACGAAAGCGUGGGUAUCGAACAGGAUUAGAUACCCGUGUAGUC
rnacentral:rRNA from 1 species